GUGAGGGCGAUCUGGCUGCGACAUCUGUCACCCCGUUGAUCGCCAGGGUUGAUUCGGCUGAUCUGGCUGGCUAGGUGGUUGUCUCUUUCCUCACCCCCUCCCAAAGCUGCGCGCUCUGUUGAAGAGGACAGCCUUCCCAGAAUAGAGACAGACUAGUGUUCGGUCGAGGGUAUAUGAGUAGCUGCGCUCCCCUGCUAGAGCCUCCAAACAAGCUCUCAAGAUAAAACAGUAUCUUGCACUGAUAUAUGUGUUAAGAUAAGAUAUACAUAUACUUUAUCAUUGU
rnacentral:snRNA from 1 species